rnacentral:rRNA from 1 species
GAUGAACGCUGGCGGCGUGCUUAACACAUGCAAGUCGAACGGAAAGGCCCAAGCUUGCUUGGGUACUCGAGUGGCGAACGGGUGGGUAACACGUGGGUGAUCUGCCCUGCACUUCGGGAUAAGCCUGGGAAACUGGGCCUAAUAUCGGAUAGGACGCUGGUUUGGAUGCCAUUGUGGAAAGUUUUUUCGGUGUGGGAUGAGCUCGCGGCCUAUCAGCUUGUUGGUGGGGUAAUGGCCUACCAAGGCGUCGACGGGUAGCCGGCCUGAGAGGGUGUACAGCCACAUUAGAACUGAGAGACAGCCCGGAGUCGGACGGAAGGGAGCAGGGGCGAAGAUUGCACAAUGGGCGAAAGCGUGAUGCAACAACGCCGUGUGGGUGAUGACGGCCUUCGGGUUGUAAGCACCUUUCGCUAGGAACGAAGCGUUGUUGUGACGGUACCUGAAGAAGAAGCACCGGCUAACUACGUG